CUUUUGAGUGCUGGGAUUCAAGUUUCCCAGUUACCCACUGCCUCGAGGAGAAAAUGGAAACAGGAGCUCAAAAUCAUCCUUCACUUUGGUGGACCAGCCCUCAAAACUGUAUGUCUGUAGGCUCUGAUGGAGCCUGUAAUCUGCCAUUCAGUUCUAUUCACUUCAAUUAGAUUCAAGUCAAUUCAAUUCAACGCAGUCAAUUCAAAUUAAUCCAAGAGACUCAGGGGGAGCCUUCAGUGCUGAGCAGGGUGGGGGACAGGUCACCAGCUACUGAUGUGACUGGUGUCUAGGGAGAGACACAGGGUGGCAGAUGGCAGCUCUUGUGUUCCAAGAAGAAAACUGGUCAGGGCUGGCCUUUCCCAGAGAUAGCUUCCAGAAAAGAUGACCCUUGAAUCCUGUUGGCCAGGCUGAUGAUUCACUGAAGCUGGAGAGAGAAUGUAUCACAGAGAUGCAGAGGGUGACCCGAGUGGAUGCACGAACCCAGGUUCCAGGAAACCAGUUUGUUGCUCAAAAGCCUUCCUUAUUGGCUACACUCUCCAGCAGGACCCUCCUCUUCUCACCUGCCCUUCUCCCAUAGGGCAUCCAAAGAGAAUUGAACUGGAAGGAGACGCUAGCUCUGGGGCAUAAGUCACCAGCCACCAGCUCUACCGAGGCAUCUGCUCACUCCAG
rnacentral:lncRNA from 1 species